UUUGGAUAAGCUGAUGACCCAAGACCGAAAACAGCAAACCUAAAGUAAAUCAAGACCCAAAUCAAAAUGGAAAUGGUCAAAGACCAAAACAUCAACCAAAUAAAUAAGGAAGGAAAAGAAAAGAACAAUAACAAAAAUUAAGAUAUUUGGAUUUGUGUUUACCAAUUUCGCUUUUCCAAUCAAUCAAUUAAUUCUUGUUCAAUUAACUCAAGUUACCAUAAUAAAAACAUUGGAUAAUAAAUGUUGUCUUACCCAGAAGUAUAUAUUAUCAAUAGUAAAGGGAUUCACCUACUUAAUCUUUACAGUUAUAAUAGUGACCUUGGAUAUCUUAAUCCGUUACAUCAAAUGAUAUAAAAACAAAGUGAUGAGUUUUUACCUUUGAUCAAGAGUUUGAAGGAUUUAACCAACAUAAAUACUUAAUUGUUAUAAUUGUUAUAGACGAGAUUUUUCUUUUUCUUUUCUUUUUGCCUUCUUCUUAAAUCUAGAUUAAAAGCCAUGUGAGUGGAUAAAAAAAAAUUAGAGAUAAACAUAAACAACAAUUAAAGAUUAUCAAGAGAAACCAAAUGGACACGAAUGAGUAUUGACAUUGACUUUUACUCAUUGACACAAAUUGUUUAUACGCUUGGUAGGAGGUGAAGUGACCAUUGGAUUGUAAUGAACUUUCACUGAGAACGGAGAAAGUGAUGACCAUUGAUAAGAAAGAGAGGGAGAAAAAAAUAAGGAUAAAAAUAAUAUCAUGCAAAUCGAAUAAAAAAAACAAUAUAUGGUAGAGGAUGGAAAAAAUCAAUGUAAUUUGCCUUCUUCCUUUUUCUAAUUAGCUGUUAAAUGAAGCGAAAAAAUAAUCAUAAUGUUGAUCAUUGAUUAAACCAUAAUAAUAACGGUAACAUCGCAACACCAUCGACAUCGACAUCAUCAACAAUUAUGUUCAUAUAACAACAAUGGUUAAAAAAAAGGUCCAUGAAUUGAUGCCAAGAAACAUUUUCUGCCAAAUGAUUGAAUCAUUAACAGUAUUAACAAUGGAUGAUGCUGAUGAAGAGACAGAGGGAGCUAAUAAUGAAGUUAACAACAAUAUAAUCAUCAAUAGGAGGAGGUGAUGAUGAUAAUAAAAAAAAAUCAAUGAUAAACAAAAUACAUAAUAAUAAUACUUGUUACCAGGUUUCUUAUUAUGCUUAUUAUGAAUCAAAGAAUUGACAUCAAUCAAUGGUGACGAUAAUACAUGUAAACAGGAAGAAGGCAGUUACACCCCACCAUCACCAUCAUCAACUCUCCAUCAACAUCCAACACUCUCUUUCCACCCUCUUUGAAUAUUCAUCCUCUAUGAAAGAUUGAUGAUCAAAGAAAAUGAUGAAGAUGAUGAAGAUGAUGAUGGUGAUGCUUUUGAUGGCGAAGGUAAAAAUAUGGAAGAGAUGGAGAAAACAAGAGAGAGAGAGGAAAACCAAGGAAAGGUGAACCCCCACCAGUGGAGAAAAUGUUAAAAGGAGGAAACAGAAAGGAUGAGGAUUCGAAUGUAAUACCUUUUGGUGAUUUCCGUUUUCUUGAAAUCACUUUCCUUAAGGAGUUUACCAUCUUCAAGUAUUAUCUUUGAUGUUACAUCAGAUUCCAAUUUAAGCUUCUCCAAUUCCAAUGAGUUUCCAUUAUGUAUACUGUUGAUUUUAGUGUAAUAUACAUACACACAUAAUCAUUAUCAUUUGAUUAUCAUCAUCAACAAUCAACAAUCAAACAUGAAAAGAGAUCAAGAAAAUCUUCAACACCACCAAACCGGAUGAUAAACGAUAACGUUGAAAAUGGACACAAGAGAAACUUAUUUUAACCUGACUCACUCAUUUGGACAGUAAUUAUAUAAUAAUUCCUAUCAUCCAAUAACAAUUAACAUAAAUCAAUCUCUUAUUUGAUUACACACAGACAAUCAAAGUCUUAUAUUGGACACUUGAUGGACACAAUUAUUAUUACCAAAAAAAAAGUUUAACCCAAAAAUUGAACAAGACAAAUUAAUUGACAUUAAGCGGAUAAUAUUAGUAACUAUUAACUUUAGAUAUGAUAUAUAUAUCCCAAGGAAUCAAUAUUUAAUAUAUUAACUAUCAACAAUGAUAUUAAUAUAUCGAGUUUUAUAUGGUUUAAAUGCUUGUGAAUUAUUAAUUGUCAAUAUUUAAUUGUUACUUAAUUAUAUUUACCGUUACAUUGAAUGCAAAGGAAAAUAUUUGCUCCAAUCUUUUAGCAUAUUCUUCGGAUCUUCCCGUUUCCGUUGCAUAAAGUAUUGUGGCCUUGACCCGCUUGGACAAAGCUUUGCCGAACAGAUUAGAAGUGAACUUGACUGCUCGAGCGAUUUCUUUGAACUUUUUCUUUCGACCUUGAAUCAUCGAUUUUUCACCAUUCGGUGAGAUAUUCCAAGAAUGUAAUCUCCAUGCUGGUUCCUGUGAAUGGUCAUCAUGAUAAUGACCAUUAUUAAGAGAGAGAGAGAGAGAGAGAGAGAGAGAGAGAGAGAGAGAUGGUCAAUACAAUGAGAUAUAAAAGAACAACAAUUGAAACUAUGGUGGAGAAAAUAUUUUCUUCUGUUCUAAGAAUGAUAAAAGUUUAGUUUUCUCUUCAAAUUCUGUUAUACAUUAAGAUUAUCAUGAACAUCAUGAAUUUCCAGGGGAAUCAUUUUUUAUUUCCAUGGUUAACAUUAACUCUUAACCAUUAUCAUAUUUUGUGGUUAAUCAACCUGCAGAUUCAUUCGUUGUUUAGCCAUGAAAAAUAACGUUGAAAAAAAAACUCGCUAAAAUUUUCAUGAUAAGAUCUGAAAUUUUCAUUUUCUAUUCAUGUUACAAUUUCAUGAUGAUGAACUUUUUUUCCCCUAUUCAAGUUAACAAAAUUUUCCUCCAUAGUUUUAUAUACAUUGUCUUUUGGAAGUUUUUUUUUCUUCCAUCUCAUCAUAUCAUGAAUAUAAUCAACUUUUACUGGGGAGUUUUAAUUGUAAUGAUUAAGUUAAUGAUGAUGAUGAUUAUUAUUAUUACAAUUUCUUUCAACAAUCAAGUUAAUAUUUCAACUUUACAACAAUCAAAUGUAUUUACAUGGACAAAGAAUAGACUGAAACCUUAAUUGUUUCAACUUUCAAUUAUUCUCUUUGUCAAUUCCAAGCCAUUUAAUUAUCACAAAAGAGACAUUGAAAUGUAAAUAUAUUAACUAAUUUUGGGACAGUAAUUAACUUUGAAUAACUAAUUGUUGAAAAAAAUUAGUGAUUAAUUAGAACAACAAAUUAUCAGAUAGAAAUAGUUAAUCAAUUUGUGUUUUAUUGUAAACAAAAAUUAAGUUGUAAUCGAUUGUUAUUAUUAUUAUUUGCUCAUGAUAAUAAUAAACCUUGACAAUCAACUGAUUAUUGACUUAAUCAUUUAUUAUCAUCAUAAAAUAUAAUCAAGUUGAUGAUUACAAUCAACAUUUUGACUCAAUUUUCAUGAAGAUACACUUGAAACAUAAACGAAUCCGCUGAAUACAUGUAAUGGUACAAGAAUAGGAAAUAAAAAGGAUCCCCGGAAGUCACGAUAAUAGAUGAUGAUGUUCAUCAUCAUCAUCAUCAGAUUGUCAUCAUGAUGAUGAAAAACAAGAAUCAGAACAAUAUGAAAAAAAACAAGGAAAUUAUAUAUAACAUAAGAUGUUAUUUCCCUCGGACUAUGGUCAGUAUAUGGACAAUAAGAUGAGACAAGAAAUGUUCAGAAAUGAUAUUAAUUGGAAUCGUAAAGACAAUGUUAUUAAUAUGCAACAAUCGGUUGAGUAGAUUGUUGUUUUCAUGGAUUUUGUGAUAAAAUAAAUUACCUGAUAUUCAAAGCUUGGUUUUAAACGAUAAUCCAAC